UACGUAGGGUGCAAGCGUUAAUCGGAAUUACUGGGCGUAAAGCGUGCGCAGGCGGUUUUGUAAGCCAGAUGUGAAAAGCCCCCGGGCUCAACCUGGGAACUGCGUUUGGUAACUACAAGACUAGAGUGUGUCAGAGGGGGGUGGAAUUCCGCGUGUAGCAGUGAAAUGCGUAGAGAUGCGGAGGAACACCGAUGGCGAAGGCAGCCCCCUCGGGAUAACACUGACGCUCAUGCACGAAAGCUGGGGGAGC
rnacentral:rRNA from 1 species